GUAGCUAAAAGAAUGGUC
rnacentral:snRNA from 1 species